GACAGAGGGUGCAAACGUUGUUCGGAUUUACUGGGCGUAAAGCGCGUGUAGGCGGCUUGGCAAGUCGGAUGUGAAAGCCCACGGCUCAACCGUGGAGGCGCAUCCGAAACGGCCUCGCUCGAGUCUCGGAGAGGAAGGUGGAAUGCUUGGUGUAGAGGUGAAAUUCGUAGAUAUCAAGCAGAACACCUGCGGCGAAGGCGGCCUUCUGGACGAUGACUGACGCUGAGACGCGAAAGCGUGGGGAGCAAACAGG
rnacentral:rRNA from 1 species